GACGAACGCUGGCGGCGUGCUUAACACAUGCAAGUCGAACGGAAAGGCCCUGCUUUUGUGGGGUGCUCGAGUGGCGAACGGGUGAGUAACACGGGAGUAACCGGCCCUUGACUUUGGGAUAACUUCAGGAAACUGGGGCUAAUACCGGAUAGGAGCUCCUGCUGCAGGGUGGGGGUUGGAAAGGUUCGGCGGUUGGGGAUGGACUCGCGGCUUAUCAGCUUGUUGGUGGGGUAGUGGCUUACCAAGGCUUUGACGGGUAGCCGGCCUGAGAGGGUGACCGGCCACAUUGCGACUGCGGUACGGCCCAGCCUCCUACGGGAGGCAGCAGUGGGGAAUAUUGCACAAUGGGCGGAAGCCUGAUGCAGCCCCGCCGCGUGCGGGAUGACGGCCUUCGGGUUGUAAACCGCUUUCGCCUGUGACGAAGCGUGCGUGACGGUAAUGGGUAAAGAAGCUCCGGCUAACUCCGUG
rnacentral:rRNA from 1 species